UGCUAUGAUGAACAUUUGUGUGCUUUGCACGCUGGAAAUUACCGACUGAGAUCACAAGUCUUUGAAGUCAACUAAUGGCUAUUUCUGAGC
rnacentral:snoRNA from 1 species